rnacentral:piRNA from 1 species
UCCUGCAAGGUGGUCAGACAAGUUGUCAGU